GGAUAGCUCAGUCAGUAGAACAUGAGGCUCUUAUUCUCAAGGUCAUGGGUUUGAGCCCCACGUUCAUCA